GGAUAGAGGCGCGGGUCUCAUCAGUACGGUUUUCCGCAGACGAACCGGAAGAAAACCGGAAAGGGUGAUCCGCCGAAGCGGAGGGAAGAGCGGUUCGGCUCCGACCCCGGCUGGGACGUAUGCGGAAGACGCUGCGGACUGUCACAUUUUGUGGAGAGCUAUCAU
rnacentral:ncRNA from 1 species